AUGAUAAGUGAAAUUGUUAUUUUCUCUUCUGGAGUACAUUGUUAUGCAGAUGCAAUGACACUGCCUUCUUGUUUGCAAUGGCUACAUGAAGUGGCUAUUGGCCUAUUUCAGUUUACAUGGUGGCGCUGUUCUUGGACAACUUUGCAAGUGGAUGCCUAUUAUAAAAGAAAUGAGAAAGCUGCACUUUACCAACGCCGAACCUGGCUACAACGCCAAUCUAGCUGGUCAUUGUACUUUCCUAAAAAAAAGCUGGUCAUUGUACUCGCAUGUUUUUUAAGGGAAAGCGACUUGGCUAGAUUACAAUCAUACAUGCAGGGCUAA
rnacentral:rRNA from 1 species